UACGAACUGUGCAAACGUUAUUCGGAAUCACUGGGCUUAAAGCGCGUGUAGGUGGGUCGUUAAGUGUCCGCGUGAAAUCCCACGGCUCAACCGUGGAACUGCCGGGCAUACUGGCGAUCUUGAGGCAUUCAGGGGCGAGCGGAACAAGUGGUGGAGCGGUGAAAUGCGUAGAUAUCACUUGGAACGCCAAUGGUGAAAACAGCUCGCUGGGAAUGAUCUGACACUGAGACGCGAAAGCCAGGGGAGCGAACGGG
rnacentral:rRNA from 1 species